GCCUCGGUAGCUCAGUUGGUAGAGCGCUUGCCUUGUAAGCAAGAAGUCGGGGGUUCAAAUCCCCCUCGAGGCU
rnacentral:tRNA from 1 species